CAAUCCCAGGCACAGCUACAGGUUGGGCAGAGAAGAGAUUCAGAGCAGCCCUGUGGAGAAGAACUUGGGGGUGCUGGUUGAUGAGAAAAUGAACAUGAGCCAGCAGUGUGCGCUCGCAGCCCAGAAAGCCAACCGUAUCCUGGGCUGCAUCAAAAGGAGUGUGACCAGCAGGUCGAAGGAGACAGGCUGAGGAAGUUGGGGCUGUUGAGCCUGGAGAAGAGAAGGCUGCGUGGAGACCUCAUAGCAACCUUCCAGUAUCUGAAGGGGGGCUAUAAGGAUGCUGGGGAGGGACUCUUCAUUAGGGACUGUAGUGACAGGACAAUGGGUAACGGGUUAAAACUUAAACAGGGGAAAUUUAGGGUAAAUAUAGCUCUGCGUGUGGUGAGGCACUGGAACAGGCUGCCAUGGAAGCUGUGAAUGCUCCAUCCGUGGCAGUGUUCACGGCCAGGUUGGAUGAACUUUGAGAAAACUGGUCCAGUGUGAGGUGUCCCUGUCCAUGGCAGGGGGUUGGAACUAGACGAUCUUAAGGUCCUUUCCAACCCAAACUGAUCUAUGAUUCUGUAAAGGCUAAACUACAAACAAGCAUCACCAUCAGGUCACCCCAUUUGU